GAGUUUGAUCCUGGCUCAAAACGAACGCUGGCGGCAGGCCUAACACAUGCAAGUCGAACGAAGUCUUCGGACUUAGUGGCAGACGGGUGAGUAACGCGUGGGAACCUACCUGGAGGUUCGGAAUAACUCGGGGAAACUCGGGCUAAUACCGGAUACGCCCUUACGGGGAAAGAUUUAUCGCCUUUAGAUGGGCCCGCGUUGGAUUAGCUUGUUGGUGAGGUAAAAGCUCACCAAGGCGACGAUCCAUAGCUGGUCUGAGAGGAUGAUCACCCCACUGGGAUUGAGACACGGCCCAGACUCCUACGGGAGGCAGCAGUGAGGAAUAUUCGGCAAUGGGCGCAAGCCUGACCGAGCCAUGCCGCGUGAGUGAAGAAGGCCUGCGGGUUGUAAAGCACUUUCAACAGAGAAGAAAACACGGUGUUAAUACCACCGGACUAUGACGUUAUCUGUACAAGAAGCACCGGCUAAUUCCGUGCCAGCAGCCGCGGUAAUACGGAAGGUGCGAGCGUUAAUCGGAAUUACUGGGCGUAAAGCGUGUGUAGGCGGUUUAGUAAGUCAGAUGUGAAAUCCCCGGGCUUAACCUGGGAACUGCGUUUGAUACUAUUAGACUAGAGUACAGUUGAGGGAAGCGGAAUUCCCGGUGUAGCGGUGAAAUGCGCAGAUAUCGGGAGGAAUUCCAGUCAGCGAAGGCGGCACUCUGGGCCAUAACUGACGCUGAGGAGCGAAAGCGUGGGGAGCAAACAGGAUUAGAUACCCUGGUAGUC
rnacentral:rRNA from 1 species